UGAGGAAUAUUGGUCAAUGGGCGCAAGCCUGAACCAGCCAUCCCGCGUGAAGGAAGACUGCCCUAUGGGUUGUAAACUUCUUUUGUAAAGGAAGAAAGUUAGCUACGUGUAGCUAUUUGCCUGUACUUUACGAAUAAGCACCGGCUAACUCCGUGCCAGCAGCCGCGGUAAUACGGAGGGUGCAAGCGUUAUCCGGAUUUAUUGGGUUUAAAGGGUGCGUAGGCGGGCUCUUAAGUCAGUGGUGAAAUCCUGCAGCUUAACUGUAGAACUGCCAUUGAUACUGAGAGUCUUGAGUGCGGUUGAGGUAGGCGGAAUGUGUAGUGUAGCGGUGAAAUGCUUAGAUAUUACACAGAACACCGAUUGCGUAGGCAGCUUACUAAACCGUAACUGACGCUGAUGCACGAAAGCGUGGGUAGCGAACAGGAUUAGAUACCCUGGUAGUCCACGCCGUAAACGAUGAUAACUAGCUGUAUGCGAUAUAUAGUAUG
rnacentral:rRNA from 1 species